ACACGUGGAUUAUCUGCCUUCAGGUCUGGGAUAACCCCGGGAAACCGGGGCUAAUACCGGAUAAUAUGGCAACAUUAAAGGUGGGGACCUUCGGGCCUAUCGCCUGAAGAUGAGUCCGCGUCCCAUUAGCUUGUUGGUGGGGUAAUGGCCUACCAAGGCGACGAUGGGUAGCCGGCCUGAGAGGGUGUACGGCCACAUUGGGACUGAGAUACGGCCCAGACUCCUACGGGAGGCAGCAGUUAAGAAUCUUGCGCAAUGGGCGAAAGCCUGACGCAGCGACGCCGCGUGGACGAUGAAGGCCUUCGGGUUGUAAAGUCCGGUAAGCAGGGAAGAAUAAGUGUAAAGUAAUAUCUUGCACGAUGACGGUACCUGCCUAAAGCCCCGGCUAACUACGUGCCAGCAGCCGCGGUAAUACGUAUGGGGCAAGCGUUGUUCGGAAUUAUUGGGCAUAAAGGGCGUCUAGGCGGGGGACUAAGUUAGGUGUGAAAGCCAUGGGCUCAACCCAUGAAUUGCACCUAAAACUGGUUUUCUUGAGUUCGGGAGAGGAGAGCGGAAUUCCCGGUGUAGCGGUGAAAUGCGUAGAUAUCGGGAAGAACACCAGUGGCGAAGGCGGCUCUCUGGCCUAGAACUGACGCUGAAGCGCGAAAGCGUGGGGAGCGAACGGGAUUAGAUACCCCGGUAGUCCACGCCGUAAACGUUGUGUACUAGGUGUUAGUGGCUUGACCACUAGUGCCGUCGCAAACGCAUUAAGUACACCGCCUGGGGAGUACGUCCGCAAGGAUGAAACUCAAAGAAAUUGACGGGGGCCCGCACAAGCGGUGGAGCAUGUGGUUUAAUUCGAUGAUACGCGAAGAACCUUACCUGGGCUUGAACUGUACUUGAUCGGUGUAGAGAUACACCCUCCUUCGGGCAGGUGCAGAGGUGCUGCAUGGUUGUCGUCAGCUCGUGUCGUGAGAUGUUGGGUUAAGUCCCGCAACGAGCGCAACCGUUACCCAUGGUUGCCAUCAGGUAAUGUUGAGCACUUUAGGGGAACAAUCGGUGAUAAACCGGAGGAAGGUGGGGAUGAUGUCAAAUCAUCA
rnacentral:rRNA from 1 species